CGAGUGGCGAACGGGUGAGUAAUAUAUCGGAACGUGCCCAGUAAUGGGGGAUAGCCCGGCGAAAGCCGGAUUAAUACCGCAUACAACCUACGGGUGAAAGCGGGGGAUCGCAAGACCUCGCGUUAUUGGAGCGGCCGAUAUCAGAUUAGGUAGUUGGUGGGGUAAAGGCCUACCAAGCCUGCGAUCUGUAGUUGGUCUGAGAGGACGACCAGCCACACUGGGACUGAGACACGGCCCAG
rnacentral:rRNA from 1 species